GAGCCCAAACUAAAGCCUGAAUAAACCACACCUCUUGGUUUCAACACUUAUUCAUCAGGGAGUAUUCUACCUGGAACCAGAUUUAACCAGUUAGAAAACAAAACACAAACAAGAGUUUCUAUUUUCAACGAUAGCCCUUUCACUUCUUUACCACACCUCUUUAAAGUUAAACUACACUAAAGUAAACUUAUUUGAAACAUGUGUGAUGGGUGACACCUGUAGGGUGUGGCUCUUCCAUUAAGGCCCCUUUAAAUAGGAGUGGGCGGGGCUGCCCAGCAGUGCCAGAUUCUUGUGGGUGACCAGGUUGACUGCUGGGCCCACGCUGUUUGUGCGGCAGCUGUGAGCCAUUGGGGGCUGCAGUAUCUGAAGGUAGACCGACAGGGUAAAUGAGUGUGGGUCCUCGAUACCACAGGUAUGCGGUAUUUUAUUGCUUUUGAUGUUUUAAAGAACUGGGUAUUUUAACAACUGAUUGUUUUUAUUCCCCAGUCAUCAUACCGCUACCUGCUGUCCUUCUUAUAUUGUGUUUUUAGUUUUUUUUACUCUAGUUAGUCUGCAAGACGCAGACUAACUGCUUUUACAUUUUUUUAUUAUUUUUAUUGGUGGUCACUUCCGGGUCUGUAAUUUCUGUUUGCCAGCCGAUUAGUUUUUAGCAUGUGCAUGUGUGUGGUGUUUGUCAUUUUAUAAGUUUUUACCGUUCUUAUUCUUUUUAAACUGUUUGCAGUGCUUGCAGCAAGUUGCUGCCUUACGUUUGUUUUAUCUCGGCUCAGGACAACAGUGGAACAUUCUAAAGACCAGGAAUGCUGUAUCAAUAAAUAUUGUCAAUUUAUUUGAA